UGCCAGCCGCCGCGGUAACACGGGGGGCGCAAGCGUUAUUCGGAAUUAUUGGGCGUAAAGGGCGCGUAGGCGGAUUAGUCAGUCAGAGGUGAAAUCCCAGGGCUCAACCCUGGAACCGCCUUUGAUACUGCUAGUCUUGAGUUCGAGAGAGGUGAGUGGAAUUCCGAGUGUAGAGGUGAAAUUCGUAGAUAUUCGGAGGAGCACCAGUGGCGAAGGCGGCUCACUGGCUCGAUACUGACGCUGAGGUGCGAAAGUGUGGGGAGCAAACAGGAUUAGAUA
rnacentral:rRNA from 1 species